AUUGAACGCUGGCGGCAGGCCUAACACAUGCAAGUCGAACGAGUGGCGGACGGGUGAGUAAUGGCUGGGAAACGGCCUGAUGGAGGGGGAUAACUACUGGAAACGGUAGCUAAUACCGCAUACCAUCGGAUGUGCCCAGAUGGGAUUAGCUAGGAGGUGGGGUAACGGCUAACCUAGGCCACGUUCCCUAGCUGGGCUGAGAGGAUGACCAGCCACACUUGACCUGAGACACGGUCCAGACUCCUACGGGAGGCAGCAUUGGGAAAUAUUGCACAAUGGGCUCAAGCCUGAUGCAGCCAUGCCGCGGAUAUGAAGAAGGCCUUCGUGUUUUAAGGUACUUUCAUCGGGGAGGCGUUACCCGCAGAAGAAGCACCGGCUAACUCCGUGCCAGCAGCCGCGGUAAUAC
rnacentral:rRNA from 1 species